CUCUGCCAUGGGCAGGGGCAUUUUCCACUAAACUGGGUUACCCAAAGCCCCGUGCAGCCUGGCCUCCAGCGCCUCCAGGGAUGUGGGACCAAGGGGCCAAGCAAAGAGUCUUGCCCAGGAGCGUCCCUUUCGUUGCCCCACCCCAGCGCUGCAGGAAAUGAGUGGCUGCACUUCUUGGCUUCCGUCUGCAACCAGCCAGAUCUUCCCUCAAGCUGCAAGCCCCACUGCCAUGUUCUGACCUCCUUGAGUUGCUGAGCUGCUGCUGCAUACCUGCUGCUCCGCUGGGCAAAGCGUGGUCUGUCCAUUUGGCUGGCUCCUUCUCUGGACUUCCUCUGCGCUCACUGGUCUCUGGAAGAAAAUUUCGAUCUUUAAGAAGUUCUUUCCUGAACAUCUUUACCUGGCUGAAAGGCAUACGAAAGCCUUUGGCCCAUGUCCUUGGUGAGUACAAAGUGUUUGCACCAAAGGCAAGGUGUCUAAUCUAAUUUCCAUUAGCUAAGUGUAUUGCCCAGACUGUCUUUGACUAGUUCAUUCCCUGCUAUAGCCAGCCAUGGUGCAGACUGCCACAGUUGCACUGAUUUCGAGGAAGUUCUGAAAACUUGUGCUGACUGAAGGCCUGACACUUCAACAGAGAUAAUGAUCGGGGAGGUUUCUGGUUGUUCUUGAAAAUCCAAGGGGAUUCCCCCUUCUGUUGCUUCUUUCUGCAAUUGCAUUGCGACUUGCUGCAGAGAACUUGCUGUAACAGGGGGUUGGAUUGGAUGAUCCCUUCCCACCCCUAUGAUUCUGUGAUCUGUGAUUCUGUGAUUACUUUAUGGGGAGAUUUCAGUAUAUAUAGCAGCAAAUAGUGGAGACCAUGUGAAUGAAACGGCAAGAAGGACACGUGUCAACAUGAUCUGCUCCGUGUAAGAGAGCUUAAUGAGCCUUUGAAGGGCAUAUUUUUUAUUUUUCUAUUGUGUUCUGUUUAUGACACUCAUCUCAUUUUAACAACUGUAAAUACAUUUC
rnacentral:lncRNA from 1 species